UACGGAGGGGGCCAGCGUUGCUCGGAAUUACUGGGCGUAAAGGGCUCGUAGGUGGCCAACUAAGUCAGACGUGAAAUCCCUCGGCUUAACCGGGGAACUGCGUCUGAUACUGGAUGGCUUGAGUGUGGGAGAGGGAUGCGGAAUUCCAGGUGUAGCGGUGAAAUGCGUAGAUAUCUGGAGGAACACCGGUGGCGAAGGCGGCAUCCUGGACCAUUACUGACACUGAAUAGCGAAAGCCAGGGGAGCAAACGGG
rnacentral:rRNA from 1 species